rnacentral:rRNA from 1 species
GCUCCAAUAGCGUAUAUUAAAGUUGUUAAGCUCGUAGUUGGAUUUCGGAGGUCCUUUGGGUCCGCCCCUUCGGGGAGCGGGUUGCUGGCCUCCUAUGUUCCUAACGGUCCUCACUCGCGAGGGUGGGGAAUCAACCGCUAGGAUCGUUUACUUUGAGGAAAUUAGAGUGUUCAAAGCAGGCGUAACUCGCCUCCGAAUACGUUAGCAUGGGAUAAUGGAAUACGACUUCGGUCUUGUUUCGUUGGUUUCGCUUGGCUGAAGUAAUGAUUGAUAGGGACAGUUGGGGGCAUUAGUAUUUAGUUGUCAGAGGUGAAAUUCUAGGAUUUACUAAAGACUGACCAAUGCGAAAGCAUUUGCCAAGGAUGUUUUCAUUAAUCAAGAACGAAAGUAGGGGGAUCGAAGACGAUCAGAUACCGUCGUAGUCUCUACCGUAAACUAUGCCGACCAGGGAUCCGGAGAGUUUGCAUGGAUGACUCCCCGGGCACCUUGUGAGAAAUCAUAAGUGUUUGGGUUUUGGGGGGAGUAUGGUCGCAAGGCUGAAACUUAAAGGAAUUGACGGAAGGGCACCACCAGGAGUUAACCAAGGUUCGGCUCCAAAAAGCAAGCGUUUGAAAGCGUCACUUGCUAGUCUUGUUAGAGCGACAUACCACUGCUCUUAUGAGGCAACACCAUCAAAUUGCGGGAACUCCUAAAGCUCGACCUACCAAGCACGGCUCGAAAGAGACUGUGUGGCCAGGGUAAUCACCUUGGGUAAGGUAACAAUGGUUCGAGAUGUAACAAUGGACAAUCCGCAGCCAAGUCCUAAGGCCCUCGUGGCUACGGAUGCUGUUCAGAGACUAGAUGUUGGUGGGUUCGAGACAUGUCUCGGGCUUAAGAUAUAGUCCACUCCCAGGGAGACCUGGUCCUUCAGAUGAGGCUUGUGGUAAGCCAGAGCUGAAGGAGUGAUUUAUUGCUUGCAACUACUACAACAUACAGCGAGUGUCUCCUUUAAACAAAGGGUAGCAUGGGUGCAAACAAGCAUCCAAGCAUUACAUGAGCGACACACCAUCUUUCCUGGACAGUUCUGGUUCGAUCGAUCCGGAUUGUCUGGUACUGCAUGUAUGUGUAGCUCAGUGACACAGCUUUUGUUGUGGCAGUCAUGAGACACCUGGUAAUUGUCUGGCCAUAGAGAAGGUCCUGUAGGGUUCGCUUUCUUCCAGUUGUAUACAGCAACAAGAAGGUGCAGCCUUACAUUGGUCUUCCCUGUGCUUCCUAGCGAUUGCCUGAAAAACGACAGAGAUGUCCUCGGGUACUUGCUCUUCUGGCGCCUUACUAGACAGCUGCCUUGCUUAGUAGCAAUCUUCUGAGCACGACGGACUAGGUCUUUUAAGUCACCCAGUGAGAGGUUUGCCAAGUCUGAGAGAUAUUCUGCGUGUCUUGUGGUGUUGUUCAUUGUUCAAUUUGAAUAAAUGAACGACAGGCAUGCAACAAAAAGACUGAAAACAAAAAGUCGUACAAAUUUCUAACAAAUUUCGUACAAUUUUCAUCAGUCUUUGCAAUCACGGCCAAGUGGGAACCUGCGGCUUAAUUUGACUCAACACGGGGAAACUUACGAGGUCAGGACACUGUGAGGAUUGACAGAUUGAUAGCUCUUUCUU